CCACAUCAACGGAUAGGGGGCGUAACAGUGAUUAAACUGAUAACAAUAGUACUAAACACACCACUCCUAUCUGGUGGCACAUUAGAUUGCACGCGCAGUGCCCCAAAUUUGUUGUGAUCUGUGAGUAAGGUAAACGGUUAUCCAUACAAGUAGGUUGCAGCUUUUUGAGGGCCCACACCACCGCUAUGCACUCCUUUUCAAUGGCAGUGAAUAUACUUCGCUGUGCAAAAGUUUACGGCUUAGAUAAGCCCCGGGUUGCUAGCCACCAUCUGCUCCGACUUGGCUCAAUACUGCUCCCAAUCCAAGCAUAGAAGCGUCUGUAUGGCCGAGAAAGUGUUUAGUUGGAUCAGGAGAAGAAAGUACAGGUGAUUUAAUGAGCGCCGUCUUGAG